GAUUUCAUGCCUCUCUCCUGGAAAAAUGUAUGUAACUUGAAAUGUUGAAUGGAUACCAUGGAUCUUGGGAAGGACAUUCAAACAUUGAAAACACACAACACUGGCACCAAGUACUCUAUAAUAGUUGGAACUCAGGCUCAAGUUGGUGAUGCUAUCCAUGACGGGAUGUUAAAGAAGAAGAUGAAACAUAGAAAAGAAAACAAGAGAAGUCUCUUUUCUGGCCUCCUUUCUUAAUUAUGGAAUACAUGGAUCAUUCAGGCAAUAGUGAAGAGUCAAAUUGGAAGAAGAUUGGAGAAGUUAUUGUAAUAUUGGAUAAGAUUUCUUGCAUAAAUCUUUAUGAAAUUUUUUCUUUCUAAAAAAAGGGAGCCCAUGGAUUGGCUCCCUUCGUAUUUCAUUUCAUUCAUUUCAUGGAUUGGUAUCCUGAGGCUAAAAUUGGUCCUAAAAUCUUGCCAUCUAGGCCAAUCUGUACAUCCUCUCUCUCUCCUACCUAAGGAGCUGUGGCUGCAGGAAUGGGAAGCGUCUGAGGCUGGUAAUAAAAUGAAGUCAUGUUUAAGUUCAAUUCAUUCAUUUGAGCAUCUCAGCAUCUAUUCAACUGCUGGCAGCCACAGUUCUUCAAGUUCCCCUCCUCCCAUCGUGGUUCAGGUGGAUCCUUGUCACCUGACAGAUCUAUUGGUUGACCCUGGCACCUCUGGUUCCCUUUGCAGAACUGCAAUCCAGUAUUUUCUUCAGGUAUGGAAAUCUUCAGGUACACUUAAAGCUCCUCUCUAAAGAGUUGAUUCAGGCCGUCUCCGGAUUGAUGGGAUUUGUGUCCCUGUUCUUCACCUACUGGUUGGUACUGCGUCUCAGGUACUAUAUUUCUUCUGGAUCUCCUGGUCAAUGACCUCAAAUGAUCUUGCUUUUCUUCUUCGAUCAACAUGAUCACUAUUAUUUUUUGACACACGCUUGAUAUUUGCCUUUCCGCACCAAGCAAGGUGGCCUUAAGGAAAAGACACUGGCAAAGUACCCUCUCCAGACUUGCUAAACUGACAGGUCUUCCUAGUUCCCAGUCUAACCUGAGCUGGGAGAAGGAAAUCAAACUUAGACUAGUGGUUUUAUUCCUGAGAAGUUUUUCUCCUUUCCUUAUUAAGAUUUGGCUUCCUUGAUUCUUUAUUUUGUCAGUUAUUAUGACUACUCUUAGGUGUCUCCAUCUUCAUAGAACAUGAGUGGGUACCUUGAAAGCCAUUAAUGGGUAAACUGGUUAAAAUCUUAGAAUUUCUAUGGAGGAGGUGAUAGUGGAUCACUCACGAUUUUUUUCUACCUCUGUCUUUAGAAUACUAGAUCAAUGGCUUUCAAAUUUGAACACACAUGAUAAUAUCCUGGGGGAUUCUUAAAAUCAUGGUUCUUACACUUGGCCAUUCAUCCUCACUCUCAAAAUUAUGGAUUAGUAGUCUAACAAGAUACCCAGAAUUGUCAUUUUUAGUGAGAGUGCUUUGGAUGCAGUGAAAUUCAGAGCACAUCUUAAGAAACACGUCUAAGACAGAGUUAUUGUUGUUGUUUUUAAUAUGGCUGCACAUUUAAAAAAAUGUGAGAUUUCAAAACAAAAACAGUGCCUGAGUCCCACCCCCAAAAUUUUUAUUUAAUUGGUUUUGGGUGGGCUAAAACAAUAGCAUCCUACAGAAACCCCUCACCCCCAUAGAAUUUAAUAUGUAGACAGUGAGAAUUAUUGUUCCAGACCCUCAAAAGUUUACUGAGAAUUCAUGGAUGUCACUAUUUGGCCAUCCGUAGACAUACACACAUGCACACACAUAUCCCUCUGGCCAUUCUUUUAUGUAUUUUUCUUUUUUCUCCAGGGAGAAGAGAAAGACCUGUCUGUUGUUAACUACAACACUAACUUUGUGUAAGAGCUUUCCCAAAUGAGAAUUUGUGAUAUGAAAAUUGUUCCUUGGGACUUCUGGUUUGAGCUCUGCCAUAUAAAGAGCUUGGUAGUCAUCAUUCUCACUAUUACAAUAAGAUCAAGCUGGAAAAACUGAAAAGCAAUGACUUUUUUUGGUUGUCUCAGAGAACUGAGUUUGCAGGGAAAACAACUACCCUGAAAUAUGGAGAGAUGGGCACAUCUCUGGAGAGAGAGCAACUGACAUCUGCUUGCUUGAAGCAGAAACCACUGGAAUCAUAAACUGGUAAGAACAUUGCAGAAAAGUUAACAUAGCAGGCCUGAGACGGUUAUUCCUGGGAAGACCUGCUUGCAAGGUUGGCCCUUGGCUGGUUCCUGGGAACAUGGAUUUUUGGAGGGUUCUCACCAUUUCCAGAAGUGAUAACAGGGCUCACUAUGCUUAGACUAUUUGUAUAAACCAUGUGGUUCAUGCUUCAGGCACCUAUUUUCCUUCUGGGAGACUGGAAUUUUGGUAUGUGAGAAGUAGAGGGUAACCCCCCCAAAAUUUGGGGGCACUGAGUUUUUAAUGAGCUUCCCUGAGAGGCAACAUUUAGUAUGAAUUGUCACAACCCAUAGCUGCAAGAAUUAAGAGCAUCAUGUAUGCCUCCUUUGGGAGAAGAUUCUGGGAAGUUUGUGCCUGGUUUCCUCCAAACCUCACCCGACAUCUUUUCCCUUUGAUGAUUUUGCUUUGCAUCACUUUACUAUAAUAAAUCAUAGCUGUG
rnacentral:lncRNA from 1 species